UCUCCGUUGGUGAACCAGCGGAGGGAUCAUUACCGAGUUGACUACUCCCAAACCCCUGUGAACAUACCAUAACCGUUGCUUCGGCGGACCACCCCCGGCUAACCCCGGGGGCCCGCCAGAGGACCCAAACCCAACUGUAUUUUUGUUUUCUGUUACAACGUAUUCUGAGUGGAGUUUUAAAUAAAUCAAAACUUUCAACAACGGAUCUCUUGGCUCUG
rnacentral:misc_RNA from 1 species